rnacentral:rRNA from 1 species
UACGGAGGGUGCAAGCGUUAUCCGGAUUUACUGGGUUUAAAGGGUGCGCAGGCGGAUAUGUAAGUCAGUGGUGAAAUCUCUAGGCUUAACCUGGAAAUUGCCGUUGAUACUAUAUAUCUUGAAUGUUGUGGAGGUAAGCAGAAUAUGUCAUGUAGCGGAUGAAAUGCUUAGAUAUGACAUAGAAUACCUAUUGCGAAGGCAGCUUACUACGCAGAUAUUGACGCUCAUGCACGAAAGCGUGGGGAUCAAACAGG